AACUGCGAAUGGCUCAUUAAAUCAGUUAUCGUUUAUUUGAUAGUACCUUACUACAUGGAUACCUGUGGUAAUUCUAGAGCUAAUACAUGCUAAAAACCUCGACUUCGGAAGGGGUGUAUUUAUUAGAUAAAAAACCAAUGCCCUUCGGGGCUCCUUGGUGAAUCAUAAUAACUUAACGAAUCGCAUGGCCUUGCGCCGGCGAUGGUUCAUUCAAAUUUCUGCCCUAUCAACUUUCGAUGGUAGGAUAGUGGCCUACCAUGGUGGCAACGGGUAACGGGGAAUUAGGGUUCGAUUCCGGAGAGGGAGCCUGAGAAACGGCUACCACAUCCAAGGAAGGCAGCAGGCGCGCAAAUUACCCAAUCCCGACACGGGGAGGUAGUGACAAUAAAUACUGAUACGGGGCUCUUUUGGGUCUCGUAAUUGGAAUGAGUACAAUUUAAAUCCCUUAACGAGGAACAAUUGGAGGGCAAGUCUGGUGCCAGCAGCCGCGGUAAUUCCAGCUCCAAUAGCGUAUAUUAAAGUUGUUGCAGUUAAAAAGCUCGUAGUUGAACCUUGGGUCUGGCUGGCCGGUCCGCCUCACCGCGAGUACUGGUCCGGCUGGACCUUUCCUUCUGGGGAACCCCAUGGCCUUCACUGGCUGUGGGGGGAACCAGGACUUUUACUGUGAAAAAAUUAGAGUGUUCAAAGCAGGCCUUUGCUCGAAUACAUUAGCAUGGAAUAAUAGAAUAGGACGUGCGGUUCUAUUUUGUUGGUUUCUAGGACCGCCGUAAUGAUUAAUAGGGAUAGUCGGGGGCGUCAGUAUUCAGCUGUCAGAGGUGAAAUUCUUGGAUUUGCUGAAGACUAACUACUGCGAAAGCAUUCGCCAAGGAUGUUUUCAUUAAUCAGGGAACGAAAGUUAGGGGAUCGAAGACGAUCAGAUACCGUCGUAGUCUUAACCAUAAACUAUGCCGACUAGGGAUCGGGCGGUGUUCUAUGAUGACCCGCUCGGCACCUUACGAGAAAUCAAAGUUU
rnacentral:rRNA from 1 species